ACCGGGAUGGACGUACCUCUGGUGUACCGGUUGUAGCGCCAGCUGCACCGCCGGGUAGCUAAGUACGGAAGGGAUAACCGCUGAAAGCAUCUAAGCGGGAAGCCCCCUUCAAGAUAAGUUUUCCCUGAGACUUUAAGUCUCCUGUAGGGCCGUUUAAGACUAAGACGUUGAUAGGCUGGGUGUGUAAGCGUUGUGAGGCGUUGAGCUAACCAGUACUAAUUGCCCGUGCG
rnacentral:rRNA from 1 species